UUGACCUCAAAUCGGGUGAGACUACCCGCUGAACUUAAGCAUAC
rnacentral:rRNA from 1 species